ensembl:snoRNA
ACGCUAACGUUUCCAGUGAGGCCGAGUCUGCGGUGGCUCUGUCCUUUCCUGUAGUGUCUGCUAGAGAGACAUGGGGCUGUUUGAGGCCCUGCUGUGAUGCUUCAUGGCAGGGUUAUAGGUAAAUCUCAGACAUUU